rnacentral:snRNA from 1 species
AUACCUUUCUCGGCCUUUUGGCUAAGAUCAAGUGUAGUAUCUGUUCUUAUCAGUUUAUAUCUGAUAUGUGGGCCAUCGGUCCACUCGAUAUCAAUCUUAUUUUUUAUGGGGAAAAACCCAUCACAAUAUCUUGCUAUUGGGGUCUUUAAGCGUCGUCUUGGCGUUGCACUACCGCCUUGCCUGGCGCACCCCUC